GAUGAACGCUGGCGGCGUGCCUAACACAUGCAAGUCGAGCGAAGCGCUUAAAUUAGAUUUCUUCGGAAUGACGAUUUUUGUGACUGAGCGGCGGACGGGUGAGUAACGCGUGGGUAACCUGCCUCUUACAGGGGGAUAACAGUUAGAAAUGACUGCUAAUACCGCAUACGACCCCAGCCUCUCAUGAAGCGGUGGUAAAAACUCCGGUGGUAUGAGAUGGACCCGCGUCUGAUUAGCUAGUUGGUAAGGUAACGGCUUACCAAGGCGACGAUCAGUAGCCGACCUGAGAGGGUGACCGGCCACAUUGGGACUGAGACACGGCCCAGACUCCUACGGGAGGCAGCAGUGGGGAAUAUUGCACAAUGGGGGAAACCCUGAUGCAGCGACGCCGCGUGAAGGAUGAAGUAUUUCGGUAUGUAAACUUCUAUCAGCAGGGAAGAAAGUGACGGUACCUGACUAAGGAGCCCCGGCUAACUACGUG
rnacentral:rRNA from 1 species